rnacentral:lncRNA from 1 species
CUCAUCACUGUUCGACCAAAUGCUCAAGCACCGCAACGACGCGGCCUGCCCGGCUAAAGGAUUCUACACCUACAACGCUUUCAUUUCUGCGGCGAAUUCCUUCAGUGGCUUUGGGACAACUGGGGACGAUACCACUCGCAAGAGGGAGAUCGCUGCUUUCUUGGCACAGACCUCCCAUGAAACAACUGGUGAUUAGUUCUACUUCGCUGUAAAAUUAAUUCUGGACUUCCUUCGUGUGUGCUCCUCCUUGCAUCCUGUCGAGUGAUGGUGGUGGUGUUUUGUUUGGUUAUAGGUGGGUGGGCGACUGCACCUGAUGGCCCUUAUGCCUGGGGCUACUGUUUUAAACAGGAGCAAGGCAAUCCCCCGGAUUAUUGCGUCCAAAGUUCACAGUGGCCUUGUGCUCCAGGAAAGAAGUACUACGGCCGAGGACCGAUACAAAUCUCCUAGUAAGUAGUUUAUAACACCUUGGCACAUUUCUUUCAUUAUUAGAUAAAAAGCAUCCUAGUGUAUGUUAAUUUAUCCUCGCUAGAUUGGUAUAAGGGACUGGAAAUCACAUAAGAACUAUUUUUUGGAUAUAUAUUUAACUAGCUUAGCUUGCAACAAACUAGAUUGGAUUAAGAUAUAAAGAACUAAUUCUAAUUUUGAUUUGAAUUUAAUUAUUGCAGCAACUACAACUAUGGACCGGCUGGUAAAGCCAUUGGCCAAGACCUGCUCAACAAUCCGGACUUGGUCGCCACCGACCCUGUCGUCUCCUUCCAAACGGCGUUAUGGUUCUGGAUGACCCCACAAUCCCCAAAACCUUCAUGUCAUGAUGUCAUCACCGGGCGGUGGACGCCAUCGGCUGCCGAUCGAGCGGCGGGACGUGUUCCGGGAUAUGGUGUCAUCACCAACAUCAUCAACGGUGGGAUCGAGUGUGGCAAGGGGCAGGACAGUAGUGUGGCAGACCGGAUUGGGUUCUACAAGAGAUACUGUGACCUUCUGGGAGUGAGCUAUGGAGACAACUUGGACUGCUACAAC